rnacentral:rRNA from 1 species
AUUGAACGCUGGCGGCAGGCUUAACACAUGCAAGUCGAGCGGGGGAAGGUAGCUUGCUACCGGACCUAGCGGCGGACGGGUGAGUAAUGCUUAGGAAUCUGCCUAUUAGUGGAGGACAACAUCUCGAAAGGGAUGCUAAUACCGCAUACGUCCUACGAGAGAAAGCAGGGGAUCUUCGGACCUUGCGCUAAUAGAUGAGCCUAAGUCGGAUUAGCUAGUUGGUGGGGUAAAGGCCUACCAAGGCGACGAUCUGUAGCGGGUCUGAGAGGAUGAUCCGCCACACUGGGACUGAGACACGGCCCAGACUCCUACGGGAGGCAGCAGUGGGGAAUAUUGGACAAUGGGGGGAACCCUGAUCCAGCCAUGCCGCAUGUGUGAAGAAGGCCUUAUGGUUGUAAAGCACUUUAAGCGAGGAGGAGGCUACUUUAGUUAAUACCUAGAGAUAGUGGACGUUACUCGCAGAAUAAGCACCAGCUAACUCUGUGCCAGCAGCCGCAGUAAUAC